GCUUUUCAACCACAUGGAACGAGAUUAAAUCUAAGUUCUGGCAACAAGUACUGACUUCAGGGCAGAGUUUACGGGUAUAUAAAACGAUGAUCUCGGGCUUCCCUGGUGGCGCAGUGGUUGAGAGUCCACGGGUUCGUGCCCCGGUCCGGGAAGAUCCCACGUGCCGCGGAGCGGCUGGGCCCGUGAGCCAUGGCCACUGAGCCCGUGCGUCCGGAGCCUGUGCUCCGCAACGGGAGAGGCCACAACAGUGAGAGGCCCGCGUACCGCAAAAAAAAAUAAAUAAAACGAUGAUCUCUAAAGUCAGUCUGUCCCGAUCUAGCUUGUGAGUUUGGGCAAGUUAACUAGUUAACAAGCCUCAGUUUCCGUAGCUGUACUUCUCAGACUCAGCCGCCUAUACCAAGGAGCUCAACAGCCCCAUACCCUCCAACCUCUGGAUCCGUAAUCUGGCCCAAAGGCCCCUUCUCCCUCAGACUCUGGGGUCCAGGUUCAAACCUACGCUCUUUCGCGGCCCAAGAACCUCAGUCCCCAGCUCCCAACUUCAUCAGAACCCAGGAUUCUGAGAUCUAAGCCCUGUUCUACCUAGGGAUCUAGGAGUUUGGGUUCAGUCGCCUUUUCUGUCAGGACACAUGAUUCUGGGCACCCAGCUUCUCCCCCUCUCCGACCCAAGAGCGUAGGGCCCCGGCCCUCACCGCCCUCAGCUCCAGGAGUCCCGCACGCCCUGCCCACCCCCCCGCCCCCCGCCUCUCUUUCCUCAGGACCCAGGAAUCUGGGCCCCCAGACACCCUUUUACUCUUUAAGGGACCAGAAUUCCUCCUGGCUUCUAUAUGAUCUCACAAGAAUCUCCUUGUGCUGAAGGAACGCCCUGGAAUGCUCCACUCGCCCAGCCGGUCCUCCGAGGCACGGAAGGCGGGGCCUGCUUCACCGGACAGAUCACUCGAAGCUCCAUUGGUCGAUACGAAAGCAUCUGUGGUUCCUGCUUAGCCCAGGCCUCAUCCUCUGAACACGUCAUGGCACCAGCCUCCUCCGUGACCUUCUGGAAGGCUGAAUAGGGUAAUACGUGCUUUAGUGUUACUUCCGGCACCCCUGAAUGACUGAUUGCCAUCGUAUCUAACCCACGUGUGAGUGUCAGUACCAUGAACACGUUGUGUCACUCAGAUUUCUUGUUCGUGGCUGGAAAAUCCUAUUUCAUAUAUAUAUAUAUACACACACACACAUAUAUAUAUAUGUGUAUAUAUAUAUAUAUGUAUAUGUAUAUAAGCUUUGCGAUGUAACAUGAAGUAGAGAUGUCCUUUGUUCUUUCAGACUUGGUACUGUUUGUGUGAGUUCUAUGGUAUAAAUGAAUAUUUAUUUUUAAUAGAGAAAAAUGCUGCAAUAAGAAUGGUGUUGGUAAAACUCUAAAUUUUGUGUAAAAAUAUAUUAAGAGUUUUCAAUUGGGGACUGCUAAUAUUAAUAUUAUUAUUAAUAUGGUUAUUAACAUAAAUAUUAGGAACAGUUCAUAUGUACAGUAAGAGAGAGUUCUGGUCCCAAAGACCCUGUCUCUCAGGACCCAGGACUCUGAGCCGCCCUCCCUUCUUCUUGGGACUCAGGCCUCCAGCACUCACCUCCUCUGAGCUGUAACAGUAUGUGGUUUUCCCGGGUCAUUGUGUACCUAUAGGUGUGGUGCAAGGUCUCAGGUCUUGGCCACAAUUGCCAAUGCAGGACCAAUGGGUUAGGGGAAACUGGAGGGCAGAGAGGGUGGUAGGGAGCUGCACAGACACCUGCUUCAAGCUCCAGAAUCUUGUCUCAGGGCCCUCAUCCCUUCCCAUGCUUCUGACUGGCACUCACCCUUCCUCUUCUGUCCUAGCCCCAAAGCGGGCUUCUAGCACCUGUAGUGAAGGUCAUCUUAAAUAAUCUCUUGGCCUGUUAAUUAGUUUGCUGAGGCUGCCGUAACUAAUACCACAGAUUGAGAGGCUGAAAGUCCAAAAUAAAGGUAUCAGCAGGGUUGGUUCCUCCUGAGGGCUGUGAGGGAAAGAUCUCUUCCAGACCUUUCUCGUUGGCUUGUAGAUGGCUGUCUUCCUCUUGUGUGUUCACAUCACCUUCCCUCUAUGCAUGUCUUUUUAAAAUAUAUUUAUUUAUUUAUUUUAAUUUUGGCUGCGUCAGGUCUUAGUUGUGGCGCCUGGGCUCUUCGUUGCAGCCUGUGGGCUUCUCUUCUAGUUGUGGUGCGCGGGCUUAGUAGUUGCGGCUCUCUAGUUGCGGCAUGUGGGCUCCAGAGCGCGUGGGCUCUGUAGUUGCAGCACACAGGCCCUUUAGUUGUGGCUCACAUGCUCCGUAGUUGUGGCGCAUGGGCUUAGUUGCUCUGCGGCACGUGGAAUCUUAGUUCCUCUACCAGAGAUCGAACCCACGUCCCCUGCAUUGGAAGGUGGAUUCUUAACCACUGGACCCCCAGGGAAGUCCCCUUCUAUGCAUGUCUGUGUCCAGAUUUUCCCUUAGUAUGAGGGUACCAGUUGGAUUAGGUCCAACCCUAAUGUCCUUGUUUUAACUUCAUUACGCCUGUGAGGAUCCUAUUUCUAAAUAAGGUCACUUUCUGAGGUAAUGGAGGCUAGGACUUCAACAUGUGAAUGUGGGGGCAAUACCACCCAUAACAGCCUGUUAGACUUGUGUUACAGAUGAAGCAGUGAAUAGCGCUCCAGGGGUAUCGUGCUACCAUUUGGUAAUUUCUUCUGUGUUAACGUCAUUCCUGAUGCAGCCUUUGCUUCCCACAGAGGCUACCUUGAUGGCUGGUGAGGGAGGGUGUGAAGAUGCAAGACUGAGGGGGUAUCCCCGGAGCGAGUCAGGGGCUCAGAGGCUCACUCAGGGAUUCCAAAUAGGCCAGAACAGUGUCCCUGUUAACACAAGGUAUAUAUAGUGCAUCCCAGUGGGUCAGUUUGUAGGGGAAACGCCCCUUUUUACCCAAGCGUGCCCAUCUGAUUCUAUUAUGAGAAGAGUAAGGAUCAGAUAUAGGUUCAGUUCUUGGGGGGCUGUAGGAUUUCUCCUGCCUUCGGGCUUGCCCUGUCUUUGACAUCUUUGAGUGAUUCCACAUCAAAGCAUCUGGGAAGAAAGUGCCCCCUUUCUCAGCCUGUGUCUGUCCCUCCAAGUCACAGGCUUGGGAAGGUGAUUCUUAAGUCACACUCCAGGUGACCUGGCCAUAGAGUCCCUCCAUCUCAGGUUUAGAAGGAACCUUGGAAGUGUAAGACCCCUUCCUCUAUUCUUCUCCCCAUUUCUGUUUAUAUACCUGUAGGGACCUUUCACCACCACCCCUGUGGGAGAAGUGGCCCUGCCGUUUUGGUGUGAGAGAAAUCCCUAGAUCUUUCUUAGCCUCAGCUGAUCUCUUUUCCUUUCUGAGCCUCAGUUUCCUCAUCUGGAAAAUGAGAAGGUUAGUCUAGAGCAAUGGUUGGCAAGUUAUUUGUGACAUUGUAUGGAAAAUAAAAUGAAAACAAAAUGAAUCGAAUGGCUCACCUAUAGUGAGGACUUUUUUUUCUUUUUUAAACACUAACGGGGCCGUCAUUGUUCACCUGGAUUAUUGCAAUACGUGCUGCCCUUGCCCCACUUCAGUCUAUUCCCCUCUUGGUAUCAGAGUGAUCUGGUAAAUAUAAGUCAGAUUCCCGUUUUACCCCAAGAGAGAGUCUAAGUCCUUACGAUGGUCUCUAAUGCCCUACUGUGUCCCCACGUCCUGUUCUGCCCUCCCUCAUUCGUUCUGCUCCGCCCACACUGGCCUCCAGGCUGUUCCAGGAACGCAUGGCCGGCACACACUGGCCUCAGGGCCUUUGCAUAUGCUCCUCCAGCUCUCUGAAACCAUCCACCUUACACCCACUUCCUCCCUUCAUUCAUGUCUCUGUUAUAACAUCACUCUUUGCUGACUCUUGUUUAGAAGAACAGCAGCCAUGUCAGUCUCUGACCCCUUGCUCUGCCUGAGUUUCUUCUGAGCACUUAUCAUUGCCUGACAUAUUAUUUGUCUAUAUUUAUUUCUAUGUUCAUUGACUACUUUCCCCAACAAGAAGGUAAGCUCCACAAAGGCAGGGGGUUUGGUUUUGAUUUGUUUAUUCCCUGGUGUAUCCCUGGCAUCUACGACAGAGCAUGGUAAUAGAAGGGGCUUGUUAAAUAAAUACACAUCACAUUGGGGAAUGAGGCUCAAGGAGAUGGUGACGCUCAAAAGCUGGGACUAGCACCCAUGUCUCUGAUUCAGACACUAGGCUUUUAACUGCUGGGCUCUUCCUGACUGUGCCGACCCACCGUUCUCACUGGGACCACCACCCCUUAUGGGGACAGUCAAGGCCACUCAUGUUUCAGCCCUUCAGUUCUACUUCAGUAUGGGCUCUUGCUGUGGCCUAUCUUGAGCAAUCUAUAUGUGCUUGUACCCCGCCCUCUCUGACCCGCAGGCCUUCACAGGAGCUGUUCUAUCACCCUGGGAUGCCCUUCUGUCCUCUACUUAUUCCCUGACAUCGUGCGCACCUCCCCCUCUGUCUCCUGGUCUUCCUGAUGCUCAGUAAAUAUUUGCUAAACUGUUGAUGUCCAAAGUGUUUUGUCUAUGCCUUUGUAUUAGGAAUUUUUGCUUCAUGGUACAAUGGCUGUGUGUGUGCGUGUGUGUCUGUGUGUCCAUGUGAGUUUGUGUGUACGCUUCUGUACAUGUAC
ensembl:lncRNA